rnacentral:rRNA from 1 species
UACGAGGGGCUAGCGUUGCUCGGAAUCACUGGGCGUAAAGGGUGCGUAGGCGGUCUUUAAGUCAGGGGUGAAAUCCUGGAGCUCAACUCCAGAACUGCCUUUGAUACUGAAGAUCUUGAGUUCGGGAGAGGUGAGUGGAACUGCGAGUGUAGAGGUGAAUUCGUAGAGUAUUCGCAAGAACACCAGUGGCGAAGGCGGCUCACUGGCCCGAUCUAACGCUGAUGCACGAAAGCGUGGGGAGCAAACAGG